rnacentral:sRNA from 1 species
GUCAAUGCCAAUUACUGCCAAAAAUUAAAAAAAUAUUGCAUGUCGGCUGAUUGCUUGGCUUAACCUUAUUCGGUGAAUCCUGAAAGUGCAUAGAAUAUUUAAAAAAAGCAAUGAAAUAUGAUAACAAUAUGUUUGGUUAAAUUUAAAAAGUUUGGUAUUUUUACGGUAGUCGCAGACGAUGCGAAUGGAAACAAGCUAACUAAAAGGCGGUCCGACCUUGAAGGAUCUGUUGACAUAGCCGAUGGCCCCGCAAUACCAACUGGCAGUCGAUUGGGUCCCCGAGGGCCAAGUUUGCAAAAUUGUGCGCUUGAGUUGCGUGGUUUUAACAAAUUGCUAAUCCCAACAAUCAGCCAAUUUCGCUGAUGUUAAUACAAUGUUAACACAGCUGCCAGGAUUACGCAAAAAUAUUCUCAAAUUCCAUUACCAGCAAAACACAAGACACCACAAGACUUCAAACACAAACUCUUUAUUCGUAACUUAUCAAGCAAAUACAAAACCAGCAUUUUCUGGUGACAUUCCUGGAUGAAAGCGAAGUCGAUGUUGUGGCAAUGUAAUAUAUUGCUUAAAUCUAUUUGGCGGUUAGCAUCAAAAAGUGAGCUAAUAUUGAAAGUCAAAAAUUUCAAGGAUCUAUGGAUAAAAUUUAGCUUUAACUUUGUGAAAAAGUCGCAAAAACUCCGUUUUGAGUCAGGCUUUGAUAUAUUUUUAAAAUUCGCCAGGAAGAUAUUAAUUUCCUGGCACUUUUUUGACUGUUGACAUGAUGGGUUUGAGGUACCUAAAAUAAGUUCGAACGAGUUCUGGCUGGAGUGACAAAGUUGGCAGAGCUGGCGCAUCACAGAUCUGCCAACGUUGGAUUGGGCAAUUUUCCUUUCUUCAAUGGCUGUUGCGAUUUUUUAUGACGCACAGCGACGUAUUUUUUUAUAUGUAGGGCAUCCCCUCCAGUUUAACGAAUGUCGAGCUUCGCCGCAAUUGCUGCAGAAUGGAUCGGAGGAAUCUUCACGGGUGCCUUGACAUUCAACUGGUUCGUGGUCACAUUUCACGCAGCUGUAAGGUUAGUUAAAAUUUUUCGCGAUGUCCCCCAUCUUUGACAUCUCGGCAUUGAAUAUCAUUUUCCUUUUUCUUUGGCUCUUCCCAGGAUAUGAUCUGAUUUUGCAGACCUCGGAUGUUGGCAACAUUAGAAAUAUUCUUUCCAGGAAGCAAGGUUACCAGGAAAGGCCGGCGUCAACGUUUCCUUUAAUUGACUUUGUCGACUGUAUCCGUACAAAUGUUGUCCAGUUCAAUUUUGAUUUGCUCGCAUUCAGUGUCAGCAAAGAGAUUUCAAUAUUACAGACGUUUGUUUAAGUUCCUUUGGUGUGUACGAAUAAGAAUAUAUUUUUUCUCCCGCAGUAAUCUUGAAAAUAAAGCUUGCUUUUUAGUUUGCUGAUGUUUCGUAAUUGAAAAGAAAAUUCAGGAAGCGUCGUUUUUAAUUUGUCAGUAGGCAUUUUUAUAUUUACAUUGUGAAUAGAUAUGCGAGGGCACCGUUUUAUUUUUGUUUUGUCAAUUUGAAGUGAUUGUCUGGGGGCAAUAUCAAGAUCAGCCAGAACUCCAAGUAUGCCAAAUUGAUUUUGAUCAGUAUUUUGAUAGUUUGCUAGUUCUUCUGUAGAGGCUGGUACUACGUUUAUCUUGGAGGAAAAUUUGUUUGACAAGGUUACCACAUUUAAUUUUU